AUUGAACGCUGGCGGCAGGCUUAACACAUGCAAGUCGAGCGGGGGAAGGUAGCUUGCUACCGGACCUAGCGGCGGACGGGUGAGUAAUGCUUAGGAAUCUGCCUAUUAGUGGGGGACAACAUCUCGAAAGGGAUGCUAAUACCGCAUACGUCCUACGGGAGAAAGCAGGGGGUCUUCGGACCUUGCGCUAAUAGAUGAGCCUAAGUCGGAUUAGCUAGUUGGUGGGGUAAAGGCCUACCAAGGCGACGAUCUGUAGCGGGUCUGAGGGGAUGAUCGGCCACCCAGGGACUGAGACACGGCCCCAAGCCCUCCGGGAGGCAGCAGUGGGGAAUAUUGGACAAUGGGGGAAACCCUGAUCCAGCCUUGCCGCGUGUGUGAAGAAGGCCUUAUGGUUGUAAAGCACUUUAAGCGAGGAGGAGGCUACUGAGACUAAUACUCUUGGAUAGUGGACGUUACUCGCAGAAUAAGCACCGGCUAACUCUGUGCCAGCAGCCGCCGUAA
rnacentral:rRNA from 1 species